rnacentral:misc_RNA from 1 species
GAUGAAGAACGCAGCAAAAUGCGAUAAGUAAUGUGAAUUGCAGAAUUCAGUGAAUCAUCGAAUCUUUGAACGCACAUUGCGCCCGCCAGUAUUCUGGCGGGCAUGCCUGUUCGAGCGUCAUUUCAACCCUCAAGCACAGCUUGGUGUUGGGACUCGCGUUAAUUCGCGUUCCCCAAAUUGAUUGGCGGUCACGUCGAGCUUCCAUAGCGUAGUAGUAAAACCCUCGUUACUGGUAAUCGUCGCGGCCACGCCGUUAAACCCCAACUUCUGAAUGUUGACCUCGGAGCAGGUAGGAAUACCCGCUGAACUUAAGCAUAUCAAUAAGCGGAGGA